UUUGGAAGGAGAAACUUUUUGUCCUUUUUUGUAACACCGUGAAGAUGCCAUUACCAAGACUGUUCAUCCUGAUUACAGACUGACUAUUAACAAACGAUAAAAAAAAACAUUGUAUGUACUGAGGCAGGCUGUGUGGAAUACAGAGGCAGUCAGGCAUUCCAAUUGUACUGCUGCUUGAAUUCUUUUUUUGGAAAGAAUUCAUUUUGAAGAAAGCAUUUGGCUCAACAUUUGGCACAUACUCUGCUGCCCAAACGCAAGGAUCAGAAAAACUCUUCCAGAUUCCAGUAAAGUAAUCUAAGAUGCUCCUGUCCUUUGUGCUGCUCCCAGGAUCUCUCAGAAUUGCAAAGGACCCCUCCUUUACUAUAUACUCAGGAGAAUUUAUACUUUCAACAAACAGUAUUUCAACUCCAUCUCAAACAUCAAAAACUGCUGAACAGCCAGAUACAGGAGACUUGAACUCACUGAACCCUGGAUGGCCAGAUGGCCUUUUGUGUCCGACAGUGUGGUCUCUGGAUGUUUAUGAGGCUUGGUACUUCAAUGCUGUGACUGCUUCUUUGUAUGUUGCUACGAUUCUCCAACUCCGUGACCACUAGAAUUUGGAAGAAUCAGAACAGCACCACCUGCAAAUUCCCUUCAAGCCACUCAUCAUCCUGACUUGGUGUUAUAUUGCUGUCCAUGCAUGGUCACUGGUUCAAUAUCAGGGAACUCUCUCCCUAAUGGCAUUGUGUUCUACUAACAUUACAGAACUCCAGUGGUUCAAGAUAGCAAUUCACAACCUCUUUCUCCAGGGCAACUAGGGGUGGUCAAUAGAUGCUGGCCUAACCCGCGACACCCACAUCCCACGAGUGAACGAAAACAAAAUCUAAUAAAGCUGUCACCCGCCAUUCAUACUGAAGAAAAUCCAAUUUGAUUGAAAAAUGUUAAAUCCCCCUCAAGUGCUUAUUCACUUGUAACAACAAGCAUCAACUCAGUACAACAUCAAAGACAAAUAAUCCUUUAAUAAUCUUUAUUGCUAGUUUGGCUGAGAACACAACCACUCCACACAGCAUUCAAAAUGGGUUAAUCUGUCAGAGCAAACUUGCAGUUGCAAGCAACAGAGGCUAUAGAAACCAGAAAACAGAUUGCUAUGUCUUUCUGAACUAAACCAGAUGGACUGUCCAUGAGGCAAAUGGCUUUUAUUUUCUCUAAGUGACAACUGCAGACCAAUAUCUUUUUAAUUUUAAAAGAAUGUGAACAUUUAAAUCUAUACAGGUCAUUACAUUAGAAUUUUCAAGCUCUGUUUUCUUGAAGUUUAAAUGUAUAAAAGUACUCUUGCCAGUUGCAAAGUACUCUAAGGCAUGUCAACCCUUACACAAGAUCAAUAUAAAAAUCAAUUUACCUUGCAGAGCCCUAUCAUCAAUCAUUGCAGUAAAGAAGUGUAAAAUAUUAUAAACAACAUUAAUGAUUUUGAAAGCUAAUAAUCAAAGUAUUUAAACCUUGCCUGUCAGAAUCUUAGAAUCUUCCUAGCACUUCAGCAGGUUCCCCGCUCCCUCCCAUUCCCCCACACCGCCGAACCAAUGUUCUCACAC